rnacentral:lncRNA from 1 species
UUUCUCUGGCAAGAGAGGCAGCCAUUUAGUCUCCACUAGAACGCAUGCUGAUUGUGGGCUGAGCUGAAAAGGGGACUGGUUCUGUGUGCCCAGACACUAAGGCAGAGGCCUGGCUCUCUUCAGGCUGAUGACAGAGCACUCUCUGGUCCCCUGCCCAGGGUCUGCCCCCAAGCCCUCCCCGCUGCACUGCCUGGAGAGCGCCCUGAGGGGGAUCUUGCCUGUAAGGCCCUUGCGCUUCGCCUGCGUGGCAGGCCCCAGCCCCAGCCCCAGCCCCGGCUCCAGCUCGAGCUUCAGCGGCUCUGAAGGAGAAGACCCGAGGCCAGAGCCUGAGCUCUGGAAGCCGCUCCCCCAGGAGAGGGACCGCCUUCCCAGCUGUAAGCCUCCUGUCCCUCUGUCCCUAUGUCCUGGUGGGACCCCUGCUGGCAGCAGUGGCAGCAGCCCUGGUGAAGACCCCAGGAGAACAGAGCCCAGGUACUGCAGCGGCCUCGGUGCAGGUACAGCUCAGGAUCCCUGCCCGGUUUCUCAGCUGGAGAAAAGGCCCAGGGUUAGUGAAGCAUCCAGAGGCCUGGAGCUUGGACAUGGAAGACCCAGAGUUGCAGGUGAACUGGUGACUUCCCCCAUUCCCUCUGCACGGGCCAGGACCCAGAGCCCCAGCUUGGGGAAAACAGCCUUCCAGGGUCAGUGUUUGGGUGAUGGGUAGGAAGUCUCACCUGUAAUGCACUUCAGGUUGCA